CGCAGUCGAAUCGCUAAGAGAUUGCGUCAGUGUCGUGUUGGUGUUGUCACGGGCACUGUACCGUGGUGGUUGUUGUUGUUGUGUGGCCUCUGAAUUUAGCGUAAUUUUGUUUAUUUCUCUUUAACCAAGAGGAGACAUCGCUCACAUUCGGCCAGGACGGCGCGCAAUGGAGAGCUUGCUCAGAGCGGAGCUGGGCACGGACUCGGUGAGGCCGCUGGGCGCUGCGGCCGGUGGAGGCUGCAUCAGCGCCGGGCAGAGCUACGAGACGGGGCAUGGACGCGUGUUCGCCAAGAUCAACGCCAAGAGCGGGGCCAAGUGCAUGUUUGAUGGGGAGUUUGCAAGCUUGGAAGCCAUUGCAUCCACACGCACGGUGCGUGUGCCCAAGCAGAUGAAGGUGAUCGAGAUCCCCACGGGUGGGGCUUUGCUCGUGAUGGAACAUCUGGACAUGAAGAGUCUCAGCAGCAGCUCAGGCUUGUUGGGACAACAGCUGGCUGAAAUGCACCUUCACAACAAGAAGAUUGGAGAGAGGCUUCACAAGGAAGAGAAAAAUAUCGGUAAGGUCCCUGGGCAGGAGGAUGUGAAGUAUGUGGACAAGUUUGGGUUUCAUACGGCUACAAGCUGUGGUUACAUCCCACAGCUGAAUGAGUGGCAGGAGGACUGGGUGACGUUCUUCUCACGGCAACGACUGCAGCUUCAGCUGGACAUGAUAGAGAAGGACUACGGUGACCGGCAGACCCGCGAGCUCUGGUCUCAGCUUCAGCUACGGUUGGGGGAUUUUUUCCGGGACGUGGAGGUGGUUCCGGCACUGCUGCACGGUGACCUAUGGACUGGGAAUGCUGCAGAGAUGAAUGAAGGGCCCGUCAUCUUUGACCCAGCCUCUUUCUAUGGGCACUCGGAGUACGAUCUUGCCAUCUCUGGGAUGUUCGCGAGCUUUAGCUCCACGUUUUACUCAUCCUACCACGCUCUCAUCCCAAAGUCACAAGGCUUUGGCAAGCGCCAGAAGCUCUACCAACUCUUCCACUACCUGAAUCACUGGAAUCACUUUGGGACAGGAUACCGAGGGUCAUCCAUCUCCACCAUGCGCGGUCUCCUCAAGUGAAUGAAAGGUGCAGGAAAUCGUGGGCUAUGGUGUAUGACUAUAAACAAUAUUAUCGGCCAUGAUAUAUACAUUAUAAUCUUAGCUCUUUCGGUAAAGUCACAUGAAUUACUGCAGUCACGAAAGCUUUAAAUCAAGAUAUAUACAUUGUUGGAUAAAGGCCUUCCCUAAGCCACCACUAAAUCUCACAAAACUAGUCCAUUUAAAUGCUGUGCAAUGCCCUGGGCAUCCUACGUGAGUGUGAACGGGGGUCUCUUUGUCCUGCCUGCUGGCCGUGAUCUCCACGAGAAAACUCGGUCAGUUAAUAUCGGAAUCAGAAUCUUUAAUUAGGCUGGAAGAAUCUGAUGAGCUAUGAAGCUCUUUUUUCACACAUGUGCAGUCGGGGCGAGUCAGAAAGUGACAACAACAAACAAUACAAACAGAUAGGAACGCUAAGUCAUGAAAUAAAAAUAUAUAAGAGUUCAAAUUGCAUUAGUGCAUCAAUUCCUGCCACAAUGCACCAAAUGCAAUCUUGGGCAAGGUAGCAUAACAAAAUUAAUCCCAGACCACACUUAAGACAACACACAGUCCCUCCAUACAUUUGCACAUUAAAGUUGAAGUAUUGAUACACGUGAUAAACCUGUCAGCGUUCGAUAAUGCUACUCUGCAUUGUGUUCUCCCUCAGCUCUGUGACUCAAGAAUCAUGUCUUGUGGUGUGAUUUUCACACCAAAAUUAUCUCAUGCUUAUUGAUAUUUAACACCUGAAAUCGCCAAUAAUAUUACAAUCAUAACGUUAGCAAUCAUUGCUUAAAAUUUUAUUACAAUUUAGCUGAUUAACCAGAUUUAAAUUGUAGGAGUCCAAAACAAGUGGAGCCUCCCUCCUCUGAGAUGCCAAUCUGAGCUGGCAGAUCACGUGCUUACUCCCGAGUUUUAGAAUUACCAAUUACUCGUCAAGAUACAUUAAAAAAAUAACAUUACAAGAAUUGUUGCCGAUGAUCCUACAAAGAGUGAACAUCUCAUCAUAGCACUGCAGUCUACAGCGGCAACACCAAAGCCAGAUACAAUGUUCACUCUUGCGGUCUGUUUCACACAGCGCUUUACCUUCGCCGCUACCCACACGUGCAUUAAAUGGGUCAAUUGGAGGCCCCUGUAUCUUUGUUGUGGGUUCCUGUUGCUCAUUCACUGCUGGCCGCCACUGCCCACUUAAAUGUGGGCCCUGUCGCUUUUCUCACCAGACUUCUCCACGGCCAGACGUCGCCCAAUGAUGACUGCGGUUCAGAGGCCUCUGUCCAGAUGAGAGUUGCAGGCAGAGUUUCAGUAUGAAGAGGAAGGCUGGAACCCUGCACAAUUUACCAUCUACAUGGUUCCUCCCGAAUGUUGUACUUGGGUUGUUGCGUUUGGUAAUUAACCACGCUCGUCCUAGUUACAUGAAGGUAGUAGAGGUAUACACAAGAUAAAAAGUACCUUUUAGUACUUAAAGAGCUCGAUUUGCAAAGACCACCGCUACAACUGAACGUUAUGCAGUAAUAUUAAACAGGUUUGAAGCAUAUUCUUGGUUCUUUCGGUAAAGUCACGUAGAAGGGAAACAAUAAAAUAAAAAUAUAAAACAAUAAAAUUCUCACGACGUUUCGACUGCAACACAAGCAAUCAACAUCAGGUGUGAAAAC